rnacentral:lncRNA from 1 species
AAGUGGGUGCUGAUUAUGCUCCGGUUUAGUUCCUAAGUUAUCAGGAUUGAACAGAAUCCUAGAGUCGUCAUUUCGGCCAGUGAGAGCACUGAAGAAAGUCAAUCCAUUAGGCCAUUUGAUAUCAUUCUCAUGAUCAUGAGCUCCGAUCAUGUGAUCUUCCAUUCGAGGUUCAGAUGAAUGAGGAUGAAUCCAGUGAGAGCACUGAAGAAUGUCAAUCCAUUAGGCCAUUUGAUAUCAUUCUCAUGAUCAGCUCCCAUCAUGUGAUCUUCCAUUCGAGGUUCGGAUGAAUGAGGAUGAAGGAACAUCUGUGAUUCAUCUUUGGACUGAUGAUGCAUUCCAAGUCUUGCAGAGU